GAUGAACGCUGGCGGCGUGCCUAAUACAUGCAAGUCGAGCGAACAGACGAGGAGCUUGCUCCUCUGACGUUAGCGGCGGACGGGUGAGUAACACGUGGAUAACCUACCUAUAAGACUGGGAUAACUUCGGGAAACCGGAGCUAAUACCGGAUAAUAUAUUGAACCGCAUGGUUCAAUAGUAAAAGACGGUUUUGCUGUAACUUAUAGAUGGAUCCGCGCCGCAUUAGCUAGUUGGUAAGGUAACGGCUUACCAAGGCAACGAUGCGUAGCCGACCUGAGAGGGUGAUCGGCCACACUGGAACUGAGACACGGUCCAGACUCCUACGGGAGGCAGCAGUAGGGAAUCUUCCGCAAUGGGCGAAAGCCUGACGGAGCAACGCCGCGUGAGUGAUGAAGGUCUUCGGAUCGUAAAACUCUGUUAUUAGGGAAGAACAAAUGUGUAAGUAACUAUGCACGUCUUGACGGUACCUAAUCAGAAAGCCACGGCUAACUACGUG
rnacentral:rRNA from 1 species